rnacentral:rRNA from 1 species
UACGUAGGUGGCAAGCGUUAUCCGGAAUUAUUGGGCGUAAAGGGUGCGUAGGCGGUUUAUUAAGUCUAUGGUGAAAGUGCGGGGCUCAACCCCGUAUGGCCAUAGAAACUGGUAGACUUGAGUGCAGGAGAGGGCAAUGGAAUUCCAUGUGUAGCGGUAAAAUGCGUAGAUAUAUGGAGGAACACCAGUGGCGAAGGCGGUUGCCUGGCCUGUAACUGACGCUGAGGCACGAAAGCGUGGGGAGCAAAUAGGAUUAGAAACCCCAGUAGUCC